UACGGGGGGGGCAAGCGUUGUUCGGAAUUACUGGGCGUAAAGGGCGCGUAGGCGGUUCGCUAAGUUGGAUGUGAAAACUCUGGGCUCAACCCAGAGCCUGCAUCCAAAACUGGCGGGCUAGAGUUCUGGAGGGGGUAGCGGAAUUCCUGGUGUAGCGGUGAAAUGCGUAGAUAUCAGGAGGAACACCAAUUGCGAAGGCAGCUCGCUGGGACGUCACUGACGCUGAGACGCGAAAGCGUGGGGAGCAAACAGG
rnacentral:rRNA from 1 species